ACGUUUAGAUCCUUAAUACCCUUUCAUCUCCUCCUUUUUAUCUCUGCGUCACAAGAAUCGCUCCUACUCUGAAAGGGGAAAAUUGAAGAAUCGAAGAACAAAUAGAAGGUUAUAUAGACAAAAGCAGUUGUUAAUCUAGAAUAUCUCCUCCUUUGAAAGGAAGAAGCAAAGAAUCAAAGGAUAUGUGAAAGGCUAUGUUGAAAGGCAGACGCUAAUCUAGGUUCAUCAAUGGAAACUAUUGGAUCUCUUCAACUUCAUGAUGGUAGUCCCUCCAUGGAUGCCCAGCGCUAAAGAAGUACUAUUGGCUCUCUUCAAUACUUAACCUUCACAUGACUGGACAUAAGCUAUGCUAUCAAUAAACUUGCUCAACACAUGCAUCACCCAACAGAGAUUCAUUGGCAAGCACUAAAGAGAAUUCUACGCUACUUGAAAGGUACCACAUAUCAUGGUCUUUAUCUACGUCUGAAUAAAAAGCUCUCUCUUAUAGCCUUCUCUGAUGCAGAGUGGGCCGGUGAUAAAGACAAAUUUCUAUUAAGUGCCUAUGUUAUAUAUCUUGGAGGAACGCCUAUUUCAUGGACUUCUAAAAGGCAGCGAAUAGUAGCUUGUUCUUCCAUUGAAGCUGAAUAUCGCACAAUUGCCACAUCAACUUCAUAAAUUUUGUGACUCGGUACAUUGUUUCUUGAACUCAAAGUGACAGCCCAUCAACAACCGAUCAUCUUUUGUGAUAACAUUGGUGCCACAUAUUUUUGUGCAAAUUUGGUUUUUCACUCCAGAAUGAAGCACUUAGCUCUAGACUAUCAUUUUGUUUGUGAAAAGGUUACCACUAGGCAACUUCGUGUACAACAUGUCUCGAGUAAGUAUCAACUGGUAGAUCUCUUAACCAAGCCUCAAACAAAGCAACGACUACUGCAAUAUUGUCCCAAGAUUGGUGUCUCCAAUGGGAGCACCAUCUUGCGGGGGCGUGUUAAAGAGAAAUUAUAGCAUUCAGUUAUGGAGAAAUAUCUACAAACACCCGUUAUGGAAAAUCCACACAAUUAGUAAUCCAUAGAGUCAAAUGUCUACGUACAACUGUAACUUGAUUUGUUUACAUAUUCAUCUUAUUCAUAUCCCUAUAAUCAUGAUUCUCGUUG